rnacentral:rRNA from 1 species
AGUGAACGCUGGCGGUAGGCCUAACACAUGCAAGUCGAACGGCAGCACAGUAAGAGCUUGCUCUUACGGGUGGCGAGUGGCGGACGGGUGAGGAAUACAUCGGAAUCUACUUUUUCGUGGGGGAUAACGUAGGGAAACUUACGCUAAUACCGCAUACGACCUACGGGUGAAAGCAGGGGAUCUUCGGACCUUGCGCGAUUGAAUGAGCCGAUGUCGGAUUAGCUAGUUGGCGGGGUAAAGGCACACCAAGGCGACGAUCCGUAGCUGGUCUGAGAGGAUGAUCAGCCACACUGGAACUGAGACACGGUCCAGACUCCUACGGGAGGCAGCAGUGGGGAAUAUUGGACAAUGGGCGCAAGCCUGAUCCAGCCAUACCGCGUGGGUGAAGAAGGCCUUCGGGUUGUAAAGCCCUUUUGUUGGGAAAGAAAAGCAGCAGAUUAAUACCCCGCUGUUCUGACGGUACCCAAAGAAUAAGCACCGGCUAACUUCGUG